rnacentral:lncRNA from 1 species
UUUUUUCUUUUUGUGAUGAGAACAUUUAAGACUUACCCCCUUAGCAAAUUUUAGGUUGCAGUGCAAUAUUACUAACUAUAGUCACUAUGCAGUACAUUAGAUCUCCAGAAUUUAUUCAUGCUGCAUAACAGAAAAUUUGUACCACGUGGCUAAUAUACCCUAUUUCCCCAACCACCAGUAACCACUAGUCUACUUUCUAUUUCUAUGAGUUUGACUACUUUAGAUUCUACAUAUAAGUGAGAUCAUGAAGUAUUUGUUUUUCUGUGCCUAACCUAUUUCACUUAGCAAAAUGUCCUUUAAGUUCAUCUAUUGUCACGAGUGACAAAAUAAACUUCUUCUUCAAGAUGAACAAUAUUGUAUUGUAAAUAAUUUUCCAUUCCAUUGUAUGUGUGUGCGUGGUGCACACACAUCACAUUUUUGUUUAUCCAUUCAUUUGUCAAUAAAGAUUUAGGUUGUUCCCAUAUAUUAGCUAUUGUGGAUAAUGCUACAAUAAACAUGGAGGUAACAGCUUUCUGAGAUAAUGAUUUUGUGUUUUUUGGAUAUAUACUUAGAAGUAGGAUUUCUGGAUCAAAUAAGAGCUCUAUUUUUGUUUUCUUAUAGGUUUACUCAUUUAUUUUAGAGAGAGAGGGAAAGAGAGAGAGUGAGCCGGUGGAAGGGGGGAGAGGGAAAGAAUCUCCAGCAGAUUUCCCACUGAGCCCAAUUAGGGGCUCCAUCUCAGGACUCUGAGAUUGUGACCUAAGCAGAAAUCAAGAGAUGCUUAACCAACUGAGCAACAAGCUGCUCCAUAAUAGCUCUAUUUUCAUUGAGGAACUUCCAUACUGUUUUCUAUAAUGGUUAUACCAAUUUACAUUCCCACCAACAGUACUCAAAGGUUCUUUUUUUCCCCUCUUCAUGUUGCCAACAUCUGUUAACUUUUAAAGCAAAAUUCAAGUAUAACUAAAUAUAGUUAUAUUAGUCUUAGGUGUUCAAUAUAAUGAUUAGCAAUUCUAUACAUUACUCAGUGAUCAUCAUGAUAAGUGCACUCUUAAUCCCCUUGAUCUAUUUCACCCAUUCCCCUCCCAUCCCCUUCCCCUCUGGCAACCACCAGUUUGUUCUCUAUAUUUAAGAAUCUAGUUUUUGUUUGUAUGUUUUUCUCUUUUUUUCCUUCUUUCUUUGUUUCCUAAACCCCACAUAUGAAUGAAAUUAUAUGGCAUUUCUCUUUCUCUGACUUAUUUCAGUUUGCAUAUGCCCCCUAGAUCCAUCUAUGUUGAGGCAAAUGGCAAGAUUUCAUUCUUCUUUUAUGGCUGAAUAAUAUAUAUGCAUACAUAUAUGGAAUAUAUUUGGAAUAUAUGUAUUAUACAUAUUUUAUAUAUACAUAUAUAUAAUAUGAGAUAUUAUAUAUAUAUAUAUAUAUAUAUACACACACACACUACAUCUUUUUUAUCCAUUUAUCUAUUCAGAGAUAAUAGGGCUGCUUCUGUAUCUUCACUAUUGUAAUUAAUGCUGCAAUAAACAUAGAAGUACAUAUAUCUUUUCAACUUAGUGUUUUUGCUUUCUAUGUAGUAAAUACUAAAUUGUAUGGUAAUUAUAUUUUUAAGUUUUUGAGGAGCCUCUAUCAAAUGGGAGAAGAUAUUUGCAAAUCAUAUAUCCAAUAAGGGGUUAAUAUCCAUAUAAUGAAAAAUGUAUACAACUCAAUACCAAAAAAAAAAAAAAA